rnacentral:rRNA from 1 species
GAUGAACGCUGACAGAAUGCUUAACACAUGCAAGUCAACCUGAAAUUCGGUUUGGGUGGCGGACGGGUGAGUGACGCGUAAAGAACUUGCCUCACAGAUAGGGACAACAUUUGGAAACGAAUGCUAAUACCUGAUAUUAUGAUUAUAUGGCAUCGUAUAAUUAUGAAAGCUAUAUGCGCUGUGAGAGAGCUUUGCGUCCCAUUAGCUAGUUGGAGAGGUAACGGCUCACCAAGGCGAUGAUGGGUAGCCGGCCUGGGAGGGUGAUCGGCCACAAGGGGACUGAGACACGGCCCGUACUCCUACGGGAGGCAGCGGUGGGGAAUAUUGGACAAUGGACCAAGAGUGUGAUCCAGCAAUUCUGUGUGCACGAUGAAGUUUUUCGGAAUGUAAAGUGCUUUCAGUUGGGAAGAAGAAAAUGACGGUACCAACAGAAGAAGUAACGGCUAAAUACGUG